GGUUUAGUGAUGUAGUCUUCGAACGUCUAUGAAAGAGCUCAUCCAGAGAUUUAACAGGAAGGCUGCUCAACAGAUUUGCCGACUUAUUGGAACGAGACAAGGACUACUUGGCUAGCCUAGAAACUAUGGACUGUGGGAAACCAUUUAAAGAUUCUUUAGGAGAUAUGGAAAUGGGAAUUAAAACUAUUCGUUAUUAUGCUGGAUGGGCAGAUAAGGUUCAUGGAAAGACUAUACCAGUAGAUGGUAAUCUUUUCAGCUUCACAAGAAUUGAACCUGUGGGAGUGUGUGGCAUGAUUGUCCCUGUAAGAAAUUCCUUAUGUCAUUUGUAGUUAAAAGUAACA